rnacentral:rRNA from 1 species
AGUGAACGCUGGCGGUAGGCCUAACACAUGCAAGUCGAACGGCAGCACAGUAAGAGCUUGCUCUUACGGGUGGCGAGUGGUGGACGGGUGAGGAAUACAUCGGAAUCUACUUUUUCGUGGGGGAUAACGUAGGGAAACUUACGCUAAUACCGCAUACGACCUACGGGUGAAAGCAGGGGAUCUUCGGACCUUGCGCGAUAGAAUGAGCCGAAGUCGGAUUAGCUAGUUGGCGGGGUAAAGGCCCACCAAGGCGACGAUCCGUAGCUGGUCUGAGAGGAUGAUCAGCCACACUGGAACUGAGACACGGUCCAGACGCCUACGGGAGGCAGCAGUGGGGAAUAUUGGACAAUGGGCGCAAGCCUGAUCCAGCCAUACCGCGUGGGUGAAGAAGGCCUUCGGGUUGUAAAGCCCUUUUGUUGGGAAAGAAAAGCAGCAGCUUAAUACCCCGCUGUUCUGACGGUACCCAAAGAAUAAGCACCGGCUAACUUCGUG